CAAUCCUUAAGAACAGUACCUAGUUGACGUGAGUCUGGUUAGUCUCGAUAUCCACUGCCUCAAAUUGGGAUCUACUCAACCUUUCAUUACCACCGCCACUAUCCUCCACCGCCUUAAGUGGCUGUCAUUCGUUAGUUCCUUUCUUGCGUCUUCUUCAACCUCCUCAACCCAACCGUACAUGUUCCUCGGGUUUAAUCCUCAACCAUCCACCGUCUCAUCUUGAUUCUUCCAGAUUAUCCUUCUCUCACCUCGCUCUCUGCAGUCUCCAGCAGUCUCCAGAAACCCUAAAUUCAUCUCUACCAGAACCGGCGUCCACCACCCCUACGCUUCCUUAUUUCCUGUUGGUGUACAGGUUUGUUUCAUAGUAACCCAAAUACUUGUGUGUAUGUGAUCUAUAGAUGACACUCCUGGUUUCUUCCUCACUUUACCACCGCACAACCGUCGGCCCCAAGGCCAGAAGAUUCGUCAGCAACAACCGUCGACUUCUAGCAUAGCCUUCCCAAUUCCUACCGCCUCUCUAAUCAGGUUCGCCUCCUUCCACCUUUCCUUCCCCCUUUCUCUACAAUCGACCGAGACCCUAGGAACGACAAUUGUGAGAUAUAACUGAUUUUCGCUACCACAACCCACCCAUCGUUUUCUGGCACAAAACGACAUCCAACAUCUCUCAUCGUUUUGAAAUCAAGCAGAUUUACCACAACCGACCGAUGGACAACAAAAAAGGUCGACUACAGCUAUCGAUGGGGAUGGUGCUGACCAUUGUUUAGGUGGGGUUUGGAUGGAUUGUAAUUGAAUUCCAUUCCAAUCCAUUGUUUCGUUGCCAAUGGGUAUCUAAACUGUGUAUCUAUCUCUUUCUAGGUUUGAUUAUUCUUAAAGAUUCGUUUCUCUUCAUAAUCAAAGCCAUAACCUUUUGAAUUCACAUCGACAACGAGCAUUAUGUUCAAAUUGUUUGCUGUUUGUUGGUAUAAUGGUGUUACUCAUCACAAAUGACUAAACUUCAAACAUUAUAUCUCCUAAUAAAUCUUUCUUUUUUAGUUUCUACAAUCUUCUAUUCUUAUACAAUAUACACGUUCUUGAUAAUCGAUUCUGAUUCUAACUUAAUGAAUUUCUUGUAACAGGAACAACAUCAAGAUUCAUAAGUUGUUAAACAUUCAUUUCAAACUUGCAUGGGAUUAUCAAUUUCGUGCCCCUUUGCCACCUGUACAGAUUUGUAAAACAAGAUUACUGAUGUUAGGGUGUAAGUUAGAUUAGGGUGCUAUAGAUGGUUCACAUAGAUUUAACAUUAUAUGUAUAUUAUAAAAUCGAGUUUUCACUUAUUUUUAUGUUGUUUGUAUUGCAGUAGUAAGCCAACUAAAUGACCUAAUGACCUGUGGUGGAGACGUGGGUCUGCUUCACCAAGGUCAAUGCAUAUAAGCCAUAGAAAUGAUAAAGUUGAAAUCUUAAUAGUACAAUUCAUUAAUUUCUUAUUUGUAUUGUACACUUUUUCUUGAAAUCGGAGGGACUUAGUUCGAAAUUAUUUCAUUUUUGGGGUUUAUAAAAUUUUCACUUUUGAGUUUUUGAUGAUAACUUUGGGUUUCAUUGGCAGGUUGAAUCUGAAUAGCUGUUGAACAUGCUCAGUUAGAAUGGAUAUCUUUUCAUUAUUGUUGCUUAUCUUUUUUUGGUAGAGGUUUACAAAUUUACACAUUUUCUUAUUCCGGACACCUACAUUCAAGGCUUCUGAUUUUACCAACACUGGUAUUUUAUUUCAAUAACCUUUUUUUUCCAGAUGUCCACCGACCAUAUUCUCAAACUAAUCAAUUGUCUUUCUUACAAUAGGAAUGUUUUUUGUUCUCUAAACUUUACUUUCUAUCUCGGUUUGGAUGAUUUAUACCCGUAAUUUUCAAUCCCUAAAUUUUGCAGAUGCUUCUCCGAAAAACCCAAAAGCAACAAGAAAACUGACGAACCUGUGUUUUUAAGCAUUUACACAUCAACUAACCGAUCUUUUAAAAAAAUCAGAGAAGAGAUUAGGAAAACGGUUUGCUGAUGGACGUGAUGAGGAGUCUACUGCCAGGAUAAAUGUCCAGGGAUCAAAGGCGUCUGAAAAAAUAUAUCUCAAAGAGAUGAAUGUCUUCCUAACACAAGGGGGAGUAAUACCAAACGAAGAAUAAAAAGAGUGUAUAUAUCACCGAAUGAAAGGUUUUUAAAGAAGGGAUAGUUCCCUGUGCUUACAGUUAUGUCAGCAGGGUAUGCUUUGCAUAUAAUGAUUUUACAAAUUUGUGUUUCAGCCUUCCUUACAGGGAUUACCAAAGCAACCAUAAUUAGAUUUUCCGUAAUGGAAUUAAUAAGAGAAAGGAUCUAUGUUGCAUCUUACCAAACACCUAUCUAUAGAAGUCUUUAAUUGUCUUCCAUCUCCUUCUUAAAAGUGGGUGACUUCAUCUGAAUUGUAAGUCCCUAAUUUGCCCGUGUAUCAGUCAGAUCCGUUUGAUGGUGCGGAAUCCCAAUCAAACGGAUGAUGUAAGAUCAAAAAUAGAAGAGAAGGAGAAGAAGAAUUAAUAUGAAUCUUGUAUGUAUUGAUAUGAAUUAUAAUCUGGAUACAAAAGAUUCACACA